rnacentral:rRNA from 1 species
GACAGAGGGUGCAAACGUUGUUCGGAAUUACUGGGCGUAAAGCGCGUGUAGGCUGCCCCGAAAGUCAGGUGUGAAAGCCCUGGGCUCAACCCAGGAAGUGCACUUGAAACUUCGGUGGCUUGAGUUCUGGAGAGGAUGGCGGAAUUCUCGGUGUAGAGGUGAAAUUCGUAGAUAUCGGGAGGAACACCAGUGGCGAAGGCGACUACCUGGCCUGUUUCUUGACGCUGAGGCGCGAAAGCUAGGGGAGCAAACGGG